AGACCUCUUACAUACACACGCAAUGGAAGUUUUGAGGACACCCCAUCCUGUCCCUUUGCUCUCUGUGGGUCUGGUCCCCACACCUCCCCACUUGUGAGCAACAACAGGAGACUUUCUGCUCGGUCAUUUCCGGAGAGGAAGGAGGGGCACAUCCUGAGGGAGCAGAGGGCCACUCCGGUUCCCACCCUCUCAGGUUGUGUCAGGCCGGUCCUCACGCAGAAUUCAACAGGGGGGCGGGGUGUGGGCAGAGGUGCAGGGGGACAGAGGGGAAGGAUGAAUGAUGCAUGGAAGACCAGGGUGUCAGCGGGGAAGAAAUUCUGAGACUAUGAAGAAGGAUUUGCAAGAAAAUGAGACAGGGGCCUGUUCCUCUCUGGGAGUCAGAGGAAGGAAGGAGUGUGGACAAAAGGACAGUGUUGACAGCUGGGUCAGGCAAGAAGAAGUGGAAACGGAGGAGAGGGGUCCAGCCAGCAUCCAGCUCUCCAAAUGGCAGUUGGAGUGGAAAUCAACUGUUGCCAAAACAGGAAGAAUGAAGGUGACUGUAGACCAAGGUCCUGCAGUGGGUGAAGGAGUCACGAAGACAGGCAGAAGCCAGGCUCUGCCCUGGAGGAGCACACUGUUGACUGGGCGAGAGGCUUGUAGACAGAUCCUUGCAGUUCGGCACCGCGCAAGAACCAGUGCUACAAGACACCAUCGAUGAAACUCGGAUCUCAUCACUUCCCUGCUGGAAGCCUCUCAAUGGCUCCCCAGUGCCAACCAGCUAAAAACAAAGCUCCCAGGCAGGCUGACCUCUUGGCUUCGUCUCUCGAGCUCUCUGCCCCUUCACAGCCUUGCCAUCCCCAGAGGGCACUGCAGCUCUGUCUCCACGCCUUCCUCACUCCACUCCUUCAACCCAGAACAUCCUCCACUCUCCUCCACCCCUCCCUGCCCAUUUCUCCUGAGGAUCAUCUGCUCACCCUUUAAGCCAGCUCUGUCUACUACCACCUCCUUUCUGAAGCUUUUCUUGACCACUCUCCCCCAUGCAACCUUAUCCCAGGCGGAAGGGACCACUCCUUCGUACACCCCUCUGGACCCCAUGCUUCCAGUUUAGCUCCUGUCAUUCUGAAUUACCCGAGUUUGUUGACCUAUGUAUCUCCCCUGUCCUUAUGUCUUAUUUAUCUUUUUAGCCCUUGAAACUAUCACACACUCCAGCAUAUAAUAGGUUUUCAAUAGGUGCUCAACGAACUAAUGAUAACAAACCAGCAGGGGCAGAGGGAAAAAAUGCUGCCUCUGGAGCCAGACCUGAACUGAAUCUUUGUUAAACAUACUUCGCAGUUUGCUUGAGUGAGUUAUUGGUAAUUAACUUCUCCUAGCCUCAGUUUAACUCAACUGUCAAAUGGAAAGUCCACUGCGCCCCACGCAGCACGAUGCCUGACCCAAGGCAUCUACAGGGCUUCCUGCCUUCUCUUUCAGGUGGUCGUGGGUGAUGUUCAGACCACAUGGGAGGACUGUGGCCUCCGGGGCUGCACCAGGCAGUCUGCAGGGCUGGCUGCCGUGACAUGACUCCUUCUCGGCCACAAAGUCUACACUCUAGACCUUGCCGGAGGAGAGAAAGUGGGAACCUUAAAUCUCCCCACCCGCUCUAGACCUCUAGUUCCAGCCCCCAGGAUCUACGAGGUCCUGAACCCCCUUGAACUCUUCUUGUCCUGACCCCCAAAUCCCCUGGUGCCUCUGACGCCCUCAGCUUCGAAGGUCCCUCAGAACAUCUGGAGCUUCCUCAGGUUCUCUGGGGUCCCUUGAGUCCUCCAGGAUCCUCCACAAUUCUUCACUGGUCUCCCUUCCCGAUCACAUCUGAGCAGUCCUGGAACCUGACUCUCGGAUCCCUGGUGACCCUCUCCAUGGUCUCUCCAGACUCCCAGGAUCCCGUGUUCUCCUCGCCAUCCCUCUCUGCCCGCUCCAGGUGCUGGCAGCCCUAACCCCGGCACCAUCUGGACACACGGCUGCAACACAGGGGCUCCAGCUGCUGCAGGAUUCCUCCUGCGGCUGCCCCAGACAGCUCUCUCCUUUGCCACGUUGCAAUUCACUUUAACAGCAAAUUCAGCCUGAGGAACUUCUGGCAGCACAUACACUCCCCAAGGACCCACAGCAGGAGAAAGAAGGAGAAAGUGGGGAUGGCAACCUGAUCUGACCCAGCACGCUCUUCACGUGGCCCCACGCCUGCCCAGACUUCCCCGCGCCUAGGACGCCCUUUCCACCCACGACUUCUUAUCAAGGCCCAGCCCAGAUGCCCCCAAACUGUGCUCUCCUCUGUGCCUCCUCCUCUCUGUCACCUCAGCCAGAGGGGAGCUGUCUCCCCAAGGCCCUGGAGGACAUACGUCACUCUGGGUACCACCGCCUUGAAUUGCAGAGACUCCUCCAGGGUCCUACCUGCCUUAGGACACCAGCUUCUUGAGGGGAGAGGACAGGCUUUGACGUUGGGUGUAUGGACUGAAUUGUAUCCCCUCAAAAUUCAUACACUGAAAACCUAACCUCCAAUGUGACUAUAUUUGGAGAUAGGGCCUUGAAAGAAGUAAUUAAAGUUAAAUGAGGUCAUACAGGUGAGGCCCUAAUCGAUAGGACUGGUGUCCCUAUAAGAAGAGGGACCACCAGAGAUUUCCCCCUUCCCCACAUGAGCACAGAGGAAGGGCCAUGUGAGGACACAGCGAGAAGGCUGCCAUCUGCCAUUCAGGAAGAGAAGCCUCACCAGAAACCAACUCUGCUGGCACCUUUAUCUUGGAAUUCCAGCUUCCAGAACUGUGAGAAAAUACAUUUCUGUUGUUUACGCCACCCAGUCAGUCUGUGGUAUUUUGUUACGGCAGCUCAACAGACUAAUACAUUUGGGAACUCAGGGAGAGAGUUCUGGGAGGGGAACACCAACAGACAGGCCAUUUCUCACAUAUUUUAUUUUUAUUUAUUUAUUUUUUUUGCUAGGGAAGAUUUGCCCUGAGCUAACAUCUGUUGCCAAUCUUCUUCUACUCUGUAUGUGAGCCGCCAUCACAGCAUGGCCACUGAUAGCCAAGUGGUGUAGGUCCACACCUGGAACUGAACCCAGGCCACCAAAGCAAAGUGCACUGAACUUAACCACUUGGCCACUGGGGCUGGCCCCCACACACACAUUCUUGAGCCCCUUCUGUUAGCCCAGCAGCAUGCAGGGCUGAGCGGGGACCAGACCCCAGCCUCCACAAGCCGAGCAAGAGGGAAGAGCUGAGGUCUGACCCGCUGCUGCUGCCCCGGCCAUGAGGAGACACGGGGCCAGGCGCUGGCUGGAAAAAAGGGAACAAAUACCUAAGCUCCUGCCACAUCUCAGACAGCCCCCUGCUGGGCUCAGCACCGUUUGCUGACGGAAUCCCUCAACUGCCCUUCCAAAGAGGGAUUCUUCCCCCAUUUUCCAGACAAAGCAACUUGGAGAGAUCCAGGAACUUGCCCCGGUUGACCUAAGCCGAAGGGUGGAGGGGGAUGAAGAUACGAACCAGGGCAAGGGACAGUCACAGCCUCCAAGAGGCUCAGGCUCUUCCAAGAGACAUCUCUCCGAUGGAAAGGCAGGAGAUUCCUGGCGGUCCCGUAACCUGGUCUGCGUCUGCACAGAGCAGUUGUGCAAGGAGUCAGCUGUACACGGGUCUGAGAGGACCCUCCGCCUGCCAGGGCUGCUGGCGUGGGCCCAGGCUCCACACAAGAAGAAAUGAAGGCUCCAGACAGCAAAGGCCUUGCGCAUCUCUGCGGCUGCAUCCUCAGACCCUAGGCUGCCUGACUCAUCAAGGGAGGGCUCGACUCUGUUGAAUGGGCCGUCCAGAUGGACCUCCAGUUCUGAUUAAUACUCUAUUGCUAUGAAACAUAAAGUGAUGAUGCCCGAGUGUAGCAGCCUUUUCCGGUUGAUGAAACAUUGCAUGAGUCACAUUUUCUACAUACAAUGGCUUGGGCUGGGUUAUCCCCAUUUUUACAUAUGCGGAAACUGAGGCUCAGAGGACCUAUGGGAUUUGCCCCAGGUCACAGCACCAGUAAGCAGUGGAGCAGGGGCUCAAACAGACCCCAACUUCUAUUCCCUUUCCACAGUCAAUUCCCUCCUUUUCCUCUGACACUCUCAUCCAUGCAGAUGCCCACAGCAGGCGCAGGUGUGCACGAGGAUGAAAAACAUCCACCACGAGACCGAGGCCAGCCUGCGACUGUGCGUGAGGAGACGCAUGCAGCACUGCACGAGAGUGGCCUGUGAAGGGGACAAUUGUAUAAGUGUGGGGAGUCGGGGAGACGUCAACAUGGAGCCACCUCUGCCUGGCAAGGCUGUUUUUUAUUCUCUGAAAGCUUUCUUUUCUCCUUAAAAAUUUUCUCAACAUGUCAAUACAUAGUUAUCGGGCAUCUCCCACAUGCCAGCAUUUUGCCAGGCACUGGGAAUUCAACAUAAAUAAGAGAAAGUUUCCACCUCAGAGUGGAAAAGAAUGAAGAAGAGAAACAAAAACCUAUUUCUUCUGCCAUUAAUUCAUUCGCUCAGGGCUGCCUGCCUUCCAAACCACUGCCACCUUUAUCAGAGCCCUUCCUUGUGGCCUGAGCUGAUGGAGUCCAAGCUGAAGGGCUAGAAAUACGUGGUCUUCACACCCGACAUGUUGAGCCUAUCUCUCUGAGUCACCACUCCAAUUCCGAUUAAUAUCAAAUACCACACUAUGGGCCAUGGAAUCUGGCUUCCUAAGUGGACACCAAGGUACAGGGGAUGCAACCUCUGCCUAUGGCAUAACCUUGAGCAAUGGGAAGUGGGAAGCAAGAGAGAGCCGGCAAGAUAAAUUCCUCCUCCUUUCUGCCCUCUGAGAAUUCCUCCAAGGGGUGGUUUCACCUUGCACCCUGUCUGGAGAAAGUCCUCUUUGUCAAGUGAAAAUGCCUGUCUGGCAACUGGCUGCUUCUCUUUGCAGUUCGUUUUGAAGUGGUAACCAAUGCAGUAACAUUGUUUUGCAUCUUUUUUUGCUUCACUUCUCUUUUCCUCAUCCUCCCCACCCUGAGCUCAUACCUCCCAAAGAAGGUAUCAUACUUUGAUUCUUGCCUUGGGCCCUGCUGAGACACUUGCCAAUGUUGUCCUCAAGACUGGAUACUUGAGCUGGGAUGCUUCCCUACUCUAGUAGUCAUGAUUGGGACUCACCAAUAUAGCUGGCUCUCCUCCCCUUCUGGGCAUAUGAAAGAAUACACAUCUCUGACUCUUGAAAUGAGGCAUGACCGUGUGACCCGCUUUGGCCAAUGAUGUGUUAGCAGAAGGAGCGUGUUUCAUUCCCAGAGACAAGAAGAGCAUUUAGGAAGCAGUGUGCAGUUCGUGUUCCUCUUCCCCUGCCACAGCGACUGUGGAAAGGUGUGUAGAUAUAGCAGCACCACAAUAUUCAGGCAACCUCAAAGGCUGAGCCACCAUCUGGGCAACAGCUUCCCUGAAGAAAUGCCCAGAUCUACUGUGUAAUUCGCAGAGGUGAGAAACAAACUUCUGUUGUGUUAAGCUGCUGAGAUUUUAGGGUUCAUCGGUACCUCAGCAUAACAUUGCCUAUACUAACUGAUGCUACACUUCCAAACCAUGUGAAGGAGGGGUGCUCAAGGAAUCACUGUCAUGGGAGGAGGGCUUGAAGAAGAGGACACGAGCAUCUUGCUCCCUAGCUGAUAUCUGCUGAGCCUACCAUGCUUUCCGUGCAGAGCAUGGUGAGGGAGAUCAUUCAUCAUCCAUUCACUCAACGAAUUACCAUGGAGCACCUACAACAUGCCAGGAACAGUUCCAGGGGCCGGAGAAUCAGCAACGGACAAGACAACUGAUACUACAGGUGCCCUGUAGAAUUUGACUGGCUUUCGUGAACCAAGAACUUCUUACCUGGAGGUUUCUGAAGGUUGGAGAAUUGCUAGAGCAGCCUGUGAGAACAAAAGAAGAGGAAUAUGGUGCAGCGGACCCAGAAAAAUGAGGAUGGGCAGCCCCGCCUCCCCAAAGAUCUUGGAAUGGUUAGAAGGAGACCCAGCAGUUUCCAUGGCUUCAGGAGAGGUCAAAAGCAAGAGCCACAGGACUGCCCUGCUGGCCAGGAGAAGCGAUGUAUCAUUCAAAGAGGGAUGGGAUGGGGCUCUUGGCUGGGCUGAAGGGAAACCCAGUAGGCUGCCCCUGAGAGGAUUCUGGGUGAUGGACCCACACAGAUCAAAGCUGAGCAGUGCCUCUGGAAAGCAGAGGCCACCACCAGCCACAGGCCAGAGCGAGGUCAGGCCUCUUACACUCCAACAGGUGACUAGUGACAUAAGACAUAAGACAUGAAUCUUAUGUGACAGACAGACUCUAAAGUAGUUUCCCAUGAUCCCUGCCACCUGAUGUUCACGCCCUUGUGUAAUCCCAUGAGUGUGGGUAGGACCUGCGACUUGCCUCUAACCAAUGGAAUAUGGCAAAGGUAUAAGUAAUUACGUGUAUUCGAUCACAUUAGAUUGUAGCAUUCAUCUUGCUAGAGGCUCUUUCUCCAUCUGACUUAAAAAAAAACUAGGCAGCUACAUCAGGAAGCCCAAGUGGCGAGGAGCUGAGGACGGCUUCUAGGAGCUGAGGGCAGUCUCCAGCCAACAGCCAGGAAGAAGCCGGAGACCUCAGUCCUGCACCCACAAGGAAAUGAAUGCUGCCAACAACCUGAGUAGCUUGGGAGAGGAUUCUUCCCCCGUCACACCUCCACACGAGAACGCAGCCUGGCAGUCACUUUGAUUGCAGCCUUGUGAGACCCUGAGCAGAGGACCCAGCUAAGCUGUCCUCAGACUCCUGACCCACAAAAACUGUGAAAUAUUAAAUGUGUGUUGUUUUAAACCGC
ensembl:lncRNA